AGCUCAAUCGGUGGCAAAAGAGUCUAUCGAUGACUUCUUCCAUAGGCUUUGUCACACCAAGCACAUUCCGCAUGACAAGGUCGAGCCAGUCAUUGCCGCCUUGAAGGAAGAAGACGUUACAACGACCAGUCUGCUUCGUGACACCUGGAACGACCUGAAGGAUGAACUGCCGAUAAGCCCCCGAAUGAAAACAUACAUCAAAGAUGCCUUAUUUGAGGAUUUUCCCUAAAAGCUAAACCUGUUUUUUUUUCUUCAACGCUAUUCUUGAUCCAGUUUGGAAUUAAUGGCUGUAUAGAUAUGUAUUGACAACAAAGCUGCAGAGCGAUUUCAAGUCUAUUCCUAAGGAGCGAGUAUAGUAAUGCGUAUUCAGCUACAAUCAGAAUCUGCUAUAACAAUGAAUAGAUGUAUUAUCAACCAUAUGUGCAUAUUAGAAUAAAUGGAUUAUCAACCAG